rnacentral:rRNA from 1 species
UGUUCGGGUUAAGUCCCGUAACGAGCGCAACCCUUGUCCUUAGUUACCAGCACGUUAUGUGGGCACUCUAAGGAGACUGCCGGUGGACAAACCGGAGGAAGGUGGGGAGUGACGUCAAGUCAUCAUGGCCCUUACGGCCUGGGCUACACGCGUGCUACAAUGGUCGGUACAAAGGGUUGCCAAGCCGCGAGGUGGAGCUAAUCCCAUAAAACCGAUCGUAGUCCGGAUCGCAGUCUGCAACUCGACUGCGUGAAGUCGGAAUCGCUAGUAAUCGUGAAUCAGAAUGUCACGGUGAAUACGUUCCCGGGCCUU